CCUGGACGCUUCCUGUGGAGUGAACUGCUACAUCGUGCCUCUCCGUAGCUGCUCUGUCUGAUGCUUGGUUCUACCCCCAUCCCCUGUCGGUGCUCUAUAGGGUCUACUCUGCCCGCUGCAUACACUCGGAGCUCUGUCGGACUCCUUCUGAUAGCUGCAUGAGCCACCCUCGCACUAAUGCCUCUGCUCACGACUCUCUCCCGCAUCUCUCUGCAUGCGUUCUCAGCUCUGUUCACCCACAGGGUCUCUUAAAAGCCCUAAAAUCUAGCUCAAAUCUGAAUCAGACUUUGGUUCAGACUCCUGUAGCUUCUCUGCCAUCUAAUUGAGCCUCAAAUCAAAAACUGGCCAUUGGAUCGCAUCCCAUCGUGACCCUACUUGUCUCUAAUCUCCUCUAAUCCGUCUGAUCACAAUCGCGAGCAUCCACAGCCACACAAUCGCAUAUUCGGACCAUGAAACAGCCUGUGAGCCAUGAGAAACCACCUUAAAACAUCGUCAGUCCACCAUUGACUGCAUGAAACUCGAGGUGAAAUGGUUGUCGAUCCA
rnacentral:lncRNA from 1 species